rnacentral:rRNA from 1 species
UCUUGAGAGCGGCGGACGGGUGAGUAAUUGCCUAGGAAUCUGCCUGGUAGUGGGGGAUAACGUUCGGAAACGGACGCUAAUACCGCAUACGUCCUACGGGAGAAAGCAGGGGACCUUCGGGCCUUGCGCUAUCAGAUGAGCCUAGGUCGGAUUAGCUAGUUGGUGAGGUAAUGGCUCACCAAGGCGACGAUCCGUAACUGGUCUGAGAGGAUGAUCAGUCACACUGGAACUGAGACACGGUCCAGACUCCUACGGGAGGCAGCAGUGGGGAAUAUUGGACAAUGGGCGAAAGCCUGAUCCAGCCAUGCCGCGUGUGUGAAGAAGGUCUUCGGAUUGUAAAGCACUUUAAGUUGGGAGGAAGGGCAGUUACCUAAUACGUGAUUGUUUUGACGUUACCGACAGAAUAAGCACCGGCUAACUCUGUGCCAGCAGCCGCGGUAAUACAGAGGGUGCAAGCGUUAAUCGGAAUUACUGGGCGUAAAGCGCGCGUAGGUGGUUUGUUAAGUUGGAUGUGAAAUCCCCGGGCUCAACCUGGGAACUGCAUUCAAAACUGACUGACUAGAGUGUGGUAGAGGGUGGUGGAAUUUCCUGUGUAGCGGU